UUCCGGUUGAUCCUGCCGGAGGCUACUGCUAUCGGGAUACGAUUAAGCCAUGCGAGUCGAGAGGGUUCGGCCCUCGGCUGACGGCUCAGUAACACGUGGAUAACCUGCCCUCAGGUAGGGGAUAAUCUCGGGAAACUGAGGAUAAUACCCUAUAGACAUCCUUUGCUGGAAUGCUUGGAUGUUCAAAGGCGACGCCUGAGGAUGGGUCUGCGGCCUAUCAGGUAGUAGUGGGUGUAACGGACCCACUAGCCUACGACGGGUACGGGCCUUGAAAGAGGUAGCCCGGAGAUGGACUCUGAGACACGAGUCCAGGCCCUACGGGGUGCAGCAGGCGCGAAAACUUCGCAAUGCGGGAAACCGUGACGAGGGAAUCCCGAGUGCUCAUACAAUGUAUGGGCUUUUCUGAUGUGUAAAAAGUAUUAGGAAUAAGGGCUGGGUAAGACCGGUGCCAGCCGCCGCGGUAAUACCGGCAGCUCUAGUGGUAGCCACUUUUAUUGGGCCUAAAGCGUCCGUAGCCGGUCAGGUAAAUCCUUGGGUAAAUCGUACAGCUUAACUGUGCGGCUUCCGGGGAGACUGCUUGACUUGGGACCGGGAGAGGUUGGAGGUACUCCUGGGGUAGGGGUGAAAUCCUGUAAUCCUAGGUGGACCACCGGUGGCGAAGGCGUCCAACCAGAACGGCUCCGACGGUGAGGGACGAAGGCUAGGGGCGCAAACCGGAUUAGAUACCCGGGUAGUCCUAGCUGUAAACGCUGCAGACUUGGUGUUGGAGAUCCUGCGAGGGUGUCCAGUGCCGGAGAGAAGUUGUUAAGUUUGCCGCCUGGGAAGUAUGGCCGCAAGGCUGAAACUUAAAGGAAUUGGCGGGGGAGCACCGCAACGGGAGGAGCGUGCGGUUUAAUUGGAUUCAACGCCGGG
rnacentral:rRNA from 1 species